GCCAGUGUGGUGUAGUGGUUUGAGCACAGGAUUACGACUCUAGAGAUCAGGGUUCAAAUCCUGGCUCAGCCA